UACGUAGGGGGCAAGCGUUGUCCGGAAUUAUUGGGCGUAAAGCGCGCUCAGGCGGUUCCUUAAGUCUGAUGUGAAAGCCCCCGGCUCAACCGGGGAGGGUCAUUGGAAACUGGGGAACUUGAGUGCAGGAGAGGAAAGUGGAAUUCCGCGUGUAGCGGUGAAAUGCGUAGAUAUGUGGAGGAACACCAGUGGCGAAGGCGACUUUCUGGCCUAUAACUGACUAUGAGGCGCGAAAGCGUGGGGAGCAAACAGG
rnacentral:rRNA from 1 species